AUCUUUGCUGUGAUCCUCUUCUUGAUGGGGAUCUUCCUCAUUGUCGGUCGGAAAUGCCGCUGCAAAGGGAACAAGUCAAAGCCAGUGGGUAUUGACACAGAGGCAGCCAGAGGUGCAAAAUAAAGUAAGCUGAGGGAAAGAAAGCAUGGCUUCUUAAGGAGAAAUCUUAAUCAGAACUUUGACCAUUUGGAAGAAGAAAAAGUCACUUGAGGAUUUAGUUCUUCUAGUGUUCACAAUUUAAAAAUUUGUAUGUCUUUGUCUCUGGGUACA